rnacentral:misc_RNA from 1 species
GAUGAAGAACGUAGCGAAAUGCGAUAAGUAAUGUGAAUUGCAGAAUUCAGUGAAUCAUCGAAUCUUUGAACGCACAUUGCGCCCAUUAGUAUUCUAGUGGGCAUGCCUGUUCGAGCGUCAUUAAUUCCACUUAAGCACUGCUUAGUGUUGGGAAUCUACUCUAGUGGUGCUACCCUGGAGCUACCCCUGAAAGGGGGCUGGCCCGGUAGCUACCCUGUAGUUCCUCAAAGAUAGUGCGCGGAGUUGCGUGGUCCUCUGAGCUUAGUAACUAUACACCUAGCUUUUGAGUGUCCCGCGGCGCCUGCCGUUUAAACCCCAUCUUUUAAUGGUUGACCUCGGAUCAGGUAGGAAUACCCGCUGAACUUAAGCAUAUCAAUAAGCGGAGGA